UACAGAGGUCUCAAGCGUUGUUCGGAUUCAUUGGGCGUAAAGGGUGUGUAGGUGGCGCCGUAAGUCGGGGUGUGAAAUUUCGGAGCUUAACUCCGAAACUGCAUUCGAUACUGCGGUGCUUGAGGACUGGAGAGGAGACUGGAAUUCAUGGUGUAGCAGUGAAAUGCGUAGAGAUCAUGAGGAAGACCGUGGCGAAGGCGGGUCUCUGGACAGUUCCUGACGCUGAGGCACGAAGGUCAGGGGGAGCAAACGGGG
rnacentral:rRNA from 1 species